UACCGACGGAAUCCUUCGGGAGGAAGAUGGUAUGGACUGAGUGGCGGACGGGUGAGUAACGCGUGGGUAACCUGCCUUGUACAGGGGGAUAACAGUUGGAAACGGCUGCUAAUACCGCAUAAGCGCACGGUUCCGCAUGGAACAGUGUGAAAAACUCCGGUGGUGUGAGAUGGACCCGCGUCUGAUUAGCCAGUUGGCGGGGUAACGGCCCACCAAAGCGACGAUCAGUAGCCGGCCUGAGAGGGUGAACGGCCACAUUGGGACUGAGACACGGCCCAGACUCC
rnacentral:rRNA from 1 species